UACGAAGGGUGCAAACGUUGCUCGGAAUUAUUGGGCGUAAAGCGCACGUAGGCGGCUUAGCAAGUCGGAAGUGAAAUCCCACGGCUCAACCAUGGAAGUGCUUUCGAAACUGCUGAGCUUGAGUACGAAAGAGGAUCGCGGAAUUCUCGGUGUAGAGGUGAAAUUCGUAGAUAUCGAGAGGAACACCGGUGGCGAAGGCGGCCUUCUGGACAGUGACUGACGCUGAGACGCGAAAGCGUGGGGAGCAAACAGG
rnacentral:rRNA from 1 species